CCGUUUCCGGUUGUAGCUGAUUUCGGAGUUAAGUACAAGGGGGAAAUAAUUACCAGAAAUGAGUUUCAAAGCACCUCAGAGAUCCCCCUUUCAUAGAAACUCUCCAAAUCAUACGUAUUGUAAUGACCAAGGGCGCACAACCUUCAAUGGUCAUCAAGUGUCAGCUAACAGCGCAGGCGCUUUACCAGCGUGGGGGAGUCCUGCUGUAAGUUGUAGUCCAAGAGGCAACAGACCACAGAGAACUCCCUAUAACCAGUACAGUCCUCGAGGAAAUGACUUCUCACACAAUUCACAGUUUAACAACAGUCCUAGAGGAAACAGUGCACAAAAUAAACCCUAUAAUAUGAGUCCUAGAAAUAAUUCAUCUAGCACACCAAGUACAACACACAAUAAAUUUUCUAGUCCAAAUGAUGUCUUUAAAACUCCACAGUCACCUCUAAACAGAAGUUAUUCAUCACCAGGAGCAUAUAACAGUUUCAAUAGUAGUGGGAAAAGAUCUUACAAUCAACGUUUUCAGCAGAAUUCAAGACGUGGCGGAAUUUUUACACAAAGAGGUGGCAGUUCCAUAGAGAACUAUUAUCAUUAUAGUAUGAUUGAAGACCCAUGGAAAAACACACCCCCAGUACCUGUAACAACAAGGUCUUGAUAAAGAAAGUAUUUUAUUCAAAAUGUUCCUUUGCUUGGGUUUUUAGAUAGGCAGCAGGCCUGUAAUUGUGUCAAACAUCUGUCACAUAGUUGCAUUAACCUUGAUGAAGCAAAAACAUAAUAUCUAGUGUAUAGUUUGGAGAAAAAAAAGAGAAAAGUAAACACUAUGAAUAUUCCAUCAUUUUAUGAGUUGAAUAGCUAGGAAUUAACAGGCAGCUGAAUUUUACUAUUUUAUUAGAAAAUUUAUAUUGUUUUAUAAAACUGAAGAAUAAUUUUGUUGAAGACAUGAAAAUAUUGAACUUUUAGCUGUAAAAUGUAUUUUAUAUUUAUAUGAAAAUUUAAAUUGUUAUCAUUCAGGUUGUUUUUAUAAUAAACUACAUGUAUAACACUAAGCAUAUGUAAUUGAUUUUGAUACUAAAAUUUUCAUUGAUGUUUAAUGUGUUGGAAAUUUUUAAUUUCUUUUAAAGCUUUAGUAAAAUUUCACAUAUUCGGGUACUAUAAUGUCUGACAAGAUUUUGUGAGAUCGAUGAAGCUGGUCUUAAAAUGAUCAAAUUGCAUUUUUAUGAUUCUUUUUUGAGGAAUGCACUGUUUUGAUAUUGAACACAUUCUCUGUAAAGAACAGGCAAAUUAAACCUUUCAUACUUUUUGUGUCAUUGAUGAAACUAUAUGAACUCAUCCAGUGUCAAGUUUCAUGUUCUGCUACUUCGUCAAAAUUAUCUCCCCAUUAGGCAUUACACCACCUAAUUUUUCAAUCGUAAAAACUAGAAGCCAUUGUAGGGAUGAUGUGCUGUAAAUUUAGCUCUUUAAAACAGAUAAAUGUAUCCACAUAAAAACAGAUAAAUGUAUACACAUAAAAACAGAUAAAUGUAUCCACAUAAAAUCAUGAACCUUACAUGACUAUUGUAUUUUAAAAGACAAAUGUAUCUAAUAGCUAUUAAACAUCAUUUAAUGUACAUUUAGGCCUUUCGUCAACUUAAAAUUAUUUUGUCUAAUUGGUUGUCAUGGGGAAUUUUGAUGUAAACAAUUAUCAAACCAAAGGUAGUGCUAGGAUAACAAAAGUCUAUACAUCUGUAAUCCUUAUUGGCAAAGUUUCCAAUAUCUCAUAUUAAAGCAAAGUUAGGUGAUAGAAAUGGUAGGGUUUCAAAUGUCUAUAAAAUUAUUGGCAUUAUAGAGCAAAUUGACCCUCUUAAAGCUUUAAUUUAUUAAAUAUUAUUACAAUAAUACAUUGUACAUAUGUAUUUAUAGCAAAAUCAUUUCUUAAAAUACUGCAACAACUUUCAUUCUGAUUAAAUAAGUGGAAUUGUCAUAAAGUGCGUUUAACUGAACCAUGGUAUAGCAAAUAUUCAAUUCCCUCACAAAAUCUUAUAAUACAUGCUGUAAAAAUGUUACAUAAAUAUAUAUUUAUCUGUUUUAUGUUUUAACCAGGCUUUGUUGUUAACCAAAAAAUUUGAUUUUGCUUUUUCUGCAAAUUACAUGCAGAACUGAAAGAACUUUUACUCUUUAUUUUGCAUUUUUGUUUCAAAUAUCUUCACCUUUGAAAUAACUGAACCAAUUUUGAACAAAGUUGACAGAGUUUAGAUUUUUUGUGAAAGUAUUACAAUCAUUUAAUUUAACCAGCAUUAUUUCAUGACUUAAAAUUAAGAUUGAAUAAAGUUUUAAUAUGCACAUAAUAGAUUGAUUGAUAGGUGUUGCCUAUCUUGAAAACUGUGUUUGAUAGGAAAAAUCUGACAAAAGCAGAAGUGCUUGUAAAUCCAUAAAAAAAUGUCAUAUGUUUUCUUGUAUUCAUUGCCCUAUAAUGAUGGUUUUUCAUUAACUCUAGCAUUUUUUUAAUAUAAUCUUGUGAAUAAUAAUUGAUAAAGAUGUCCUGAAGAACAGUUGUAAUUUUUGCAUGCAUAAAUCCCAGAAGCAGCAUGUUUGUCUGCCUUUGCAACUGCUUUCAAAUUCACAAAGCUGAUUUGAAGACAUUAGUUAUUAAUUUUCCAUAAAUUUUGGAAACCUAUCAUUUGCAAAGUUGGGAAAUUAAACACACGCUAUUUGCACUAUUAUCUCCCCCUACUUCUGUAUUGUAUGCCUUAUAUAGAAAAGUUAAGAUUAUUUAUUUGUCUAUUGAAAUGAAGUCAAAAUUUGCAUUGUGCAUUCAACAUGUUUGAAUGAAAGAGAUGUCUAUAUUAUGCUUAAAUGUCGAGAUAAUAUGUCAAUGCAGUGGUUUGGACUAUAUUUUAAAAAAAUUACACAAUUUAUUAUUGCUAUAGAUAUCAAAAUUCUUGUUACCAUGGUUACUAUGUAACGGAUUUUUUCAGUUGAAAUAUGCAAACACUGUUAAGAAUUAAGAAAUAAAAAUAGAAAUACA